rnacentral:misc_RNA from 1 species
GGUUUCCGUAGGUGAACCUGCGGAAGGAUCAUUGUCGAGACCGGGUUGGGGAAAGACCGGCGAACGCGUGACGGUUGAGCACAGGGGUGGGGAAGGACAAAGCUGAUCCGCUGCGUCGGCCCUGCCCCUCAUCCGCCACCGCCCCCAUUUUGUUCUUGGCCUGCGUCUCCUGCCCCCCCUCUCGAGAGGGCGGGGAGGAGCUUUGGUGCAAAGAGCUGGGGGUGGCGUGGGGUCCAAACCGGGCGCGGAGGGCGCCGAGGAAUGGUUGGUCGGGUGUGGGUCUCCGCGGCCUUGGGGCCAUCCCGUUCUGGGGUCGGGAAUGCGGAUGGAGGCUUCUCGGAUGGGAUUCCCGCAUGGCAUGACAUGACUCUCGGCGACGGAUAUCUUGGCUCUCGCACCGAUGAAGAACGCAGCGAAAUGCGGUGCGUGGUGUGAAUUGCAGAAUCCCGCGAACCAUCGAGUCUUUGAACGCAAGUUGCGCCCGGGGCCAUCCGGUCCAGGGCACGCCUGCCUGAGCGUCAAUUCAUGCGACGCUCCGCUCCCCCGGGCACUCGCGGGGAGCUGGAUGCGGACAUUGGCCCCCCGCGCCCCACCCCCUUCGGCGCUGGGGUCUGAAGAGCAUGCUAGUGAUGCUGCCGAACACGGUGGAUGGUGGAUGCGUUUGAGAUGCGGAUGCCGUGAAGCCGUCCGGCUCCUCGGAACGGGGAUGUCCCUCGCUGCCCGCACCGCGCAAGGAGCCUCGGUCGGCCGGUCGGGGUGGUGCCCCAUGGAUCGCGACCUCAGGUCA